rnacentral:rRNA from 1 species
CCCACGGGGGGCCUUCGGGAGGCAGCAGUAAGGGAUAUUGCGCAAUGGGCGAAAGCCUGACGCAGCAACGCCGCGUGCAGGGAGAAGGCCUUCGGGUUGUAAACUGCUUUUGGCUCGACAAGGCAGGACGGUAGGCUGAAAAAGGACCGU